UCCCCAGUGGUCUAGUGGUGAAGGCUCUGUGCUCCCACUGCAGGAGGCCUGGGUUCCACCCCCAGUCAGGGAA
rnacentral:tRNA from 1 species